rnacentral:rRNA from 1 species
GUCUAUGGCCAUACCACCCUGAAAACACCUGAUCUCAUCUGAUCUUGAAAGCUAAGAAGGGUAGGACCUAGUUAGUACUUGAAUAGGAGAGAUCUUUUAGACU